GUGCACCAGGCGAGAAACCUCCGCAAUACACGAAAGUGUGACGGGGCCAUCCCGAGUGCCGUCCGCUGAGGACGGCUUUUCCCCAGUGUACACAGCUGGGGGAAUAAGGAGAGGGCAAGCCUGGUGUCAGCCGCCGCGGUAAUACCAGCUCUCCGAGUCGGUGGGGAACGCUUAUUGGGCCUAAAAGCAUCCGUAGCCGGCUGGGCAAGUCCUCCGGUUAAAUCCAACGAUUCAAUCGUUGGGCUGCGGGGGAUACUGUCCAGCUUGGGGGCGGGAGAGGCCGACGGUAUUCCCGGGGUA
rnacentral:rRNA from 1 species